CAACUCCAGCAGCUUGUGCCUGGUGAGACUCGGUUCUGUGGCCUGCUUUCCAGGGCUUCCGUGUAGUCUGGAAUCAGCUAAUGAGAACUGAGAUGAGCAGGAUUAUUUGCGUACAGAGUACAGCCAGCAAAAGACCCACCUGGAUUUUCCCAGCUUGGAUAAGUUGCUUUGUGACAGCCAUGUUUCUCUCCUGUGCACUUUGCUCGCCUAAGUUCCUACACAAACACUCCCCUCUUUCUUCACAGCUCUCAACAUGAUGUGUAUGAGAAAGAAGUACAUUUUCUUUUAAAGAUGAUGGAUGCAUAAUAGGUAAAUUGAAGUCAUGGUGGUGGCAUGCACCUGUAAUUCAGUACAAGCUGCAGAGGCAGGAGGAUUACCACCAUGCUCUACACAGUGAGUUCCAGGCCAGC
ensembl:processed_transcript Gm27230 predicted gene 27230